AAAGGGGGAAAUAGUCGUUGCAACUCAGGACCGCUGCACAGAAGAAAGAGAAGGAGAGAGAAAGAGAGAGGGAAAGAGGAAAAGGGGACCACUCAUCCGCCCGCCUCCGGUCACGCGUUCACCGCCGUCCGUCACGCAUCCGUUGCCGACGAAGACCCACACAACGCCGACUAUGUAAGAGAGAAAGAGGACUAGAAGGAGAAAGAAAAAGAGGACGAGAAGGAGAAAGAGAAAUACAACGGCGGUUUCCCGUCGAGCCUCCGUUGACGGUGCUUGUUGCCGGCGCCGCGUCUAGGUAAGUUUACAACUUUUUUUUUUGGUUUUCGUUUUUGUUUUGUUUUUUUAAUUACUUUCAGAUCUGACUUUUAGACCACCACAACCGCAGCCUCCGGCCUCCGCCUCCUCCCUUCCCUCGCUGUGGCUGCUUGUUGUUGUCGGCGCUGCGUCUAGGUCAGUUUCCCCCACUUUUAAUAUUUUUUUUUGUUUAAUAAUAAACCCUUAUUUAUUUAAUUUAUUUUUUAAAUAUUUUGUAGGAUUUGUACAAUUAGAUGGUUUAAUUGUCAAAAAGAAGUGCAGAUCUAAAGGUGGUCAUCAUGGGAGGAGGAAAUAAAGGAGAAACGUCCAAGAGGAGAAAGACUAAGGGGAAAUCUCAGGUUGUACGUGUUGACGAGGAUGGAGUCAAUGGAGGAAGAGGAGGCACAUGAUUUGGGGGCCUCUUAAGAAAUCUUCAAUCGGAGACAGAUUCCUAUGUACAAGGGCAAUAGGAGCAACAGGAACAGGAGCUACAGGACUCGCAUCCUAAUGACUUGCUAGAGUUGGACCCUUCCACACUUUGGUUUGAUGAUAUCCCGGUGAAGAAUGUGCUCUCCGACUCGCUAACCGGCUACUAUGUUGAGCCUUGGAGGAAUUAUGGAGAGGUUGAUGAAGAUUCGAGAGAGCACUUUUGGAACUUGUUCAACAAAAAAUUCAAGUGGGCACCUGAGUUAAACAACCAAGUGAAGGACACUUUCGAAGAAAAGUUUGCAAAUCGCCUACGUGACACGUUCUACAACAUCAC